GAUGAACGCUAGCUACAGGCUUAACACAUGCAAGUCGCGGGGCAGCAUGGGGGUUGCUUGCAAUCCCCGAUGGCGACCGGCGCACGGGUGAGUAACGCGUAUCCAACCUGCCCUUCACCACGGGAUAACCCGGCGAAAGUCGGACUAAUACCGUAUGUUGUCCAUUGACGGCAUCCGAUUUGGACGAAAGGUUUGGCGGUGAAGGAUGGGGAUGCGUCCGAUUAGCUGGACGGCGGGGUGACGGCCCACCGUGGCGACGAUCGGUAGGGGUUCUGAGAGGAAGGUCCCCCACACUGAAACUGAGACACGGUCCAGACUCCUACGGGAGGCAGCAGUGAGGAAUAUUGGUCAAUGGGCGUAAGCCUGAACCAGCCAAGUAGCGUGCAGGAUGACGGCCCUAUGGGUUGUAAACUGCUUUUAUGCGGGGAUAAAGUGGCCCACGUGUGGGUUUUUGCAGGUACCGCAUGAAUAAGGACCGGCUAAUUCCGUG
rnacentral:rRNA from 1 species